GAGGGUAUAGCUCAAUGGAAGAGUGUGUGCUUAGCAUACAUGAGGUCCUGGGUUCAAUUCCCAGUACCUCCA
rfam:Camelus ferus unplaced genomic scaffold scaffold259, whole genome shotgun sequence.